AUUUGUAUCUGAAGUGAAUGUGUCACUGGAGUGUGUGCAGUUGCCUUAAAUUCCCCAGAUGUGAAUAAUGAAAGCAGCAUAACCAUAAACUGGGGUUUCCAGAAUUUUCUGUCAACAGACAGAAUGUAGGCAUUCUAGGCAUUGUGGACCACACUGUCUCUGUCAAAAGCAACUGCUCAACUCUGCCAUUAACAUGAAGGAAAAUAUAGACGUUACCUAAGUGAAUGAGUGCAGGUAAGCACCAGUAAAACUCUAUUUUUAGAAGCUGCAAUUUGAAUCAUAUAAUUCUCAUGUGUCUUGAAAUAUUAUCUUGCUUUUUAUUUUUUAAAAAAUAAUUUAAGGAUAUGUAAGCCAUUCUAAGCUUGCAAGCUCUACAUAUAAACAUGAGCCGGACUGGAUUUGUUUCCUUGCAAAAUUUGUUUUACGGACCUCUGCUUAUGCACCCUGAUGUACACACCACAGCCCUGCCUCUCAGGACAGAAUUUGCCCAAUAAUUGCAUAACUGACAAUAAGAGACCAUCAUCUAUUUAAAAGAAUACUUUAAAUCUGUUUCUGUACAAAGGUCACCACAUUGAUCCUCCAAAAUAUUCUUGUCUGAAAAUAAAACUUUUUAGAAGCUAAGUUAAUUAAACCAAAGCUUUCUUGGCAUUAUUUACAGAAGACCCUGGAGGAGAUGUCUACUUUGCAUGCGUUUUGGGAAUGAAAGAAGUCCUUGAAUAUGGGUUCAUUCAGCAGUUGGCUGUGUUGUUUCAGUAGCUUCCCAGUGAGGACCUGCUGCUUUCGUUCCUUCCUUCACUCAUAUAUUGCUCAUACUGAUACAAAGCUCCCACAUGUGAUAUUCAGAAUGCUUCAGCUGUUUUUCAUCAUUUAAAGGUAAUCCUUCCUACCCUUCAUUAUUCCUCAUUGCUCAUAUAUAUAUCAUGGCACCUAAGACCAUCUCUGCUCUGGCCCCUAGCUGAAACCUGAUUGGUAUAUGACUAUAUGGUUCCAUUUUCCUUCAUCCCUUGCCUCACUUAUGUGCUGGAAAAUCUGUUGUGUGCGGAACUCCUGGUCACAGAGCAAUGUUGCCCUACCCC
rnacentral:lncRNA from 1 species